AUGGAAACACGGUUCUAUUUAAUUGGGAUUCCCAGAAGUUGUCACCAACUGCAUUUCACAUGCUGACCAGGAGAUGGCGACAGCGUGCCGCCUGAAAACAAUGUAGUGAUGUGUAAUAGCCUGGUUGCUCGAUCGUUUUUUAAUUUCCAGGGUAAACCGAAGCGGUCAUCUCGACAGGUCACCUGGUGGCGCUAGUGUGCAAAGCGCCGUUUGACAUGCAGAAGAAGAAGUUUGCCUUGGCUCGGUGGACGUGACGUCAGACCCUCAGGUUAAUUGAAAACAGGUGUGCACAAGGGAGUUAUCGAAUAAAGGUGAAGCAAGAUGGCGCCUGAUCGCGUGGCAUUCUCUCAGGAUUUUCGCACUCAAUGGACGUAACUGCGUUUGAGGUUUGAGCGCAGCGCGUGUCAAUGCACUUGCCUUUGCAUCAUUUUGCAGUGUUUCAAAACGUUUUCGUUCGUUUUAAUGCUGGGCAGCUCUGCUUCGUUUCUUUCGUUUUUAACUCAUGAAUGAGACGUCUUUUACUUGGGGCUUGAACUAUAAGUGUUUGUUUGACUCUAGUCAAUGUUUGUUUGACUAUAGUCAAACAAAUAAAAAAAUAUAACUUUCUUAUUUAUUGUAUUUUUAAUACGGUGCUAUUUCAUUUCACGUUAUGCCAACGUAUAUAUGAAUGCGAGUUUUUCCUUCUCAAAAUCAAAUCCUUCCGCUCCACAAAUUAACCAAAACGGCGCCCGCAUUCAUUCUCAUACGUUGGAACUAUUUGCAAGUGUGUAUUUUUUCGGCUUUCAACGGUAAAUUAAAUGCCAAGUUGACUCCUACAGUUAAUUUGCAAAAAUCUAUAUUUACAAUUGUUUUGAAAAUGUACACAUUUACUCAUUCAUUUGCAUUCGGCUAAACCGCUAGCUCCCGAUUGGUUAAUUUUAAUCAGAUGUAAGGGUUUAAGUGAACUGUGGGCUCAUAUAUGGAAAAAUAAAGCAAUGAAAACAGUCAGUUCUUUAUUAGUCUUUUUUUCUUCUCUGCCCUUCCGAGUGUCCUUGUCCAAUAGGAGAGCCAGACUAUAUACCAAUAUGCAAUGUUGAUCUGCGCCGCAUCAAAACAAUUGCUCUUGUGAAUUCAACAAGUGAGCUGAAGUGACAUGCUCACUGUAAAAGCUCAGCUCACUGAGUGAGAAUAAUGGGUUGAAGAGAAGCAAUGAGGAAAGGACCAAUUCCACACCCAUUCAAGAAUCAAGCAGCAUGCCAAUGUGGACAUGUCAUGUGUGGGGAUCAUCUGACCAGGAGGGGGCAGUGUUGUGCACUGGUUGCCUUUGGUUAUGGGUGCACGCCGGAAAGGUUGCCUUGAAAUGAGGGCAGAGUUUUUGGGGGUCUGAUGGUUGGACUUGCUUAAGAGGUGCACUGGAGUUGUAGUUGAGGUUGUGGCUUGUCUGGAUCCAGAGCAGCUUUGUCUUGUGUGAGGAUAGCGGUUGAAAGCCGGCCGGCGCUUUGGGGGAGGACUUCAGUUUUUGCACACGCGAAGCCCUUUGAGACUUGACUAUGGCCAAUGGAAAUGAGCUUGACUUGACUCGGUCCGUCACACCGAUCGACACAACCAAAUCCUUGUCGUGUUUCACCCCUUUUGUUUCAGGUUUUGUGGAGGAACCAGCUUGGGUACCAAUAGCAGAAGCCCAAUGCCCAAGUUUGCUGUAAGCGCAGCGUUGUCUUGUGCUAGGAUUGCUAUUGAUGGCGCAUUGUAACCUUUGUGUCCAUCGAUUACACUUGUUGACUAUUGUAACAUUUUGUCAUUUUCUAACCUACCACUGUCGUACUUGCCUUCUUUGUUCUCCCCUCAGUGUAGGGCGACGUUGGAGCGAGUCGGUCCAGAAUGUUAAAUUUUGCAAUAUGACUUGUAACAUUUUCUUUUUCUACCCUACCACUGUUGUACUUGCGUUCUUUGUUUCCUCCUCGGUGUAGGGCGGCGUUGGAGCCAACUGGUCAACGAGGUGCCGGAAACCCAAACAAAACUUUGCCGUGGCGCCGAAUGUCCAAUUUUGCGAUGUGACUUGUUGACUAGUGCAACAUUUUGUCUUUACUGUCAUACUUGGGUUCUUUGUUCUCCCCUCGAUGUAGGGAGACGUCGGAGCGAGCGCUGUCCCGAAUGUCCAAUUUUGCAAUAUGACUUGCAACAUUUUGUCAUUUCCUAACCUACCACUGUCAUACUUGCGUCCUUUGUUCUCCCCUUGGUGUAGGGCGGCGUUGACGCGAGCCGGUCCACGAGAAACCACCGGUCGAGGGUGCUCAAGAACUAAUGACGCGAGCAGCGCACAACUCAUUGCAUGUUCUGCCUUUUGCAGACUGGACGCAAAAGGGGGGGACGCACGGCCCGACCCGGCGAUGGUAACCAAGAGUAGCUAGCUGCUGUGAUCAAGUAAGCAAGUGUGACCUCCAACUUGGGGUGCUCUUUGAGUCUCGCAUUGUUUCUGCAGAUGGCGACCGGGACGCGACACGAUCGGAUCAGAAGGUGUGGCAUUACUGAAGUAUCCUGCAGCCAGCCAGGUUCUGACGGAGACCCACUUCCCUGGAGGCGUUGAGCUUCAAUGCGUGAAAUUGAUUAUUUUUUUCUUUUUUUAAUUCACACCAGUGGUGUCCAAACGUCUGAGCGCCGCAUACGGAAACAAAUUCCUAAUUAUUUGACACAAAUUCAUUAAACACUCAAAUCAAUCAUGAUAUUUUGCUCUAAAUAUUUGGGCUACUGCUACAAAACGGUGUUUAUUUUGAAGGUCAUUCAUGUGGUGUCUUGAUAAACCUGACGUAGACAUAGCAAAAAUGAGGAUAAACUACUAUUGUGUCUGAGUGAAAUUUUGAACAGAGGAUUUGACUUGUAAACACAUCUUAAUAUUUUGAUGCCGUUCGUCAGUCGUAUUUUGGCGCUCCCCUAGUGGCCUGUGGGAAAGAGCCCCUAGGCUGCCGUUUGGACACUAAUGGUGAUGUGUAGGGCUGCACGUGUAUUGGAAAACUGCAAUAUGGUGGUAUGUUAUUGACAUGCACUUUAAGAAAGAAAAGAUGUUUUUUUUUUUAAUGUGACCUAAUGAAACGAGCUGUUUUCUUAUAAUUAUUUUAGAAGAUGACAAGUCAUUGAUGAAAGUUAACGUCUAACUGAGCACAUUCAGUUCAAAUCAAUUCUAUCCCAAGUUUUUGCAUGACUUUGCUCGAUGCAAUGGUCUGGCCCAGUUUAUCACUGGUUUUUCAAUAUGUUGUGCAGCCUUGAUUGAGUGCAAGCGCGCAGCAACGGCAAGCAAGCGCGCAAGCGAGACUUUUGUGCUUGUCUUGAAAGGUGAAUGAGAAGCUGCACAAAACGAAGAGCCGGCGGAUGGAGGUCACGAGAGAUUGGCGAGCAAAGGAAGAAAUCACCCCAAGAAAAGCAGUCUCCAUGUGAAGAAGAGGAAGUAGCCUGAUGCAUGGCUGGCCAGAGUUUCCUUAUUUGUCCCGCAGGGCUCGCUCACGUGGCGUCGGAGGGACUAGAGCAGUUCCUCAAAUGAAGAUGAGUACCAUCUGCCGGUCACGGAGUACGUUGACAGAAGUGAACCGCAUGCAACGGAGUGCCGUCUUUCUUUUUGCAGUUGUGCGAGGCAGAGGAAGGGUGCAAACGUCAAACAGGCCCGGAGCGGACCCGAACCUUCUGCAGACCUUAGCCCGUGACGAGCGGCCAACAUGAGGCGGGUGCAGAUGCGGGCGAGGCUGGGUGGGCAAAGCAGCCAACAUUUAGGGAGAGUAUGACUUUCUUUUUUUUCCUUUUGCACUUUCUUGCCCUCCUUCCACUUUCUCACUGGGUGUGCACACUGUCUGUCUGCAUGAUGCUUCUCUUUCUUCCAAGUGCUGUUGUUGUGCAAUAUUGUUUUAAAGUGUUUUUUUAAUACAUAGAGUGAACUGUAAAGUUUGAACUGUAAUUGUGUGCCUCUGUACCUGAAUUAAAUUGUUAACUGAAUUCAAGUGGUCCAUUUUCAACAUUGGCCUGUGUAGUCUAGCUGUGCGUAAUGAGGUGAAUGUCAAGUAGACUGACACACAUAGAUGCAAAUGACAAGUGUGUCAAAGCGUAAAAAGUCGGCGUUGCAACCCAUGAAGUAUGUCUUUGGCAAACCUUUUUGCAACCCUGCUGUAAAAUAGCCACUGAAUUCAGAAUCUGGCUCUGUUUUGGUGCACAUUUUUUGUACGAGUAAAAGCCUUUAUUUUAUUGAAGUCCAAGCCUGUUUUUCUUUUUGCGGUUAGAUUUGUCAUGCGGGGUGUUUCUGUGAAUAAAGUUAACUUUGGUGUG